UGACAGAUACAUAUAACGUUAGAUUUGG
rnacentral:sRNA from 1 species